rnacentral:rRNA from 1 species
GAUGAACGCUGGCGGCGUGCCUAAUACAUGCAAGUCGAGCGAACGGACGAGAAGCUUGCUUUUCUGAUGUUAGCGGCGGACGGGUGAGUAACACGUGGAUAACCUACCUAUAAGACUGGGAUAACUUCGGGAAACCGGAGCUAAUACCGGAUAAUAUUUUGAACCGCAUGGUUCAAAAGUGAAAGACGGUCUUGCUGUCACUUAUAGAUGGAUCCGCGCUGCAUUAGCUAGUUGGUAAGGUAACGGCUUACCAAGGCAACGAUGCAUAGCCGACCUGAGAGGAUGAUCGGCCACACUGGAACUGAGACACGGUCCAGACUCCUACGGAAGGCAGCAGUAGGGAAUCUUCCGCAAUGGGCGAAAGCCUGACGGAGCAACGCCGCGUGAGUGAUGAAGGUCUUCGGAUCGUAAAACUCUGUUAUUAGGGAAGAACAUAUGUGUAAGUAACUGUGCACAUCUUGACGGUACCUAAUCAGAAAGCCACGGCUAACUACGUG